CUGGAGAUGUGGUGUGGUGAGGUCUGUCUCUGGUCCUGGAGAUGGGGUGUGGUGAGGUCUGUCUCUGGUUCUGGAGAUGUGGUGUGGUGAGGUCUGUCUCUGGUCCUGGAGAUGUGGUGUGGUGAGGUCUGUCUCUGGUCCUGGAGAUGUAGUGUGGUGAGGUCUGUCUCUGGUCCUGGAGAUGGGGUGAGGUGAGGUCUGUCUCUGGUCCUGGAGAUGU